ACUCCUACGGGAGGCAGCAGUGGGGAAUAUUGGACAAUGGGCGCAAGCCUGAUCCAGCCAUGCCGCGUGAGUGAUGAAGGCCCUAGGGUUGUAAAGCUCUUUUGUGCGGGAAGAUAAUGACGGUACCGCAAGAAUAAGCCCCGGCUAACUUCGUGCCAGCAGCCGCGGUAAUACGAAGGGGGCUAGCGUUGCUCGGAAUCACUGGGCGUAAAGGGUGCGUAGGCGGGUCUUUAAGUCAGGGGUGAAAUCCUGGAGCUCAACUCCAGAACUGCCUUUGAUACUGAAGAUCUUGAGUUCGGGAGAGGUGAGUGGAACUGCGAGUGUAGAGGUGAAAUUCGUAGAUAUUCGCAAGAACACCAGUGGCGAAGGCGGCUCACUGGCCCGAUACUGACGCUGAGGCACGAAAGCGUGGGGAGCAAACAGGAUUAGAUACCCUGGUAG
rnacentral:rRNA from 1 species